rnacentral:snRNA from 1 species
AUCGCUUCUCGGCCUUUUGGCUAAGAUCAAGUGUAGUAUCUGUUCUUAUCAGUUUAAUAUCUGAUACGUCCCCUACCCGGGACCAUAUAUUAAAUUGAUUUUUGAGCAGGGAGAUGGAAUAGGGGCUUGCUCCGUCCACUCCACGCAUCGACCCAGUAUUGCAGUACUUCUGGGAACGGUGCACCCCCU